rnacentral:misc_RNA from 1 species
AAGUCGUAACAAGGUUCCGUAGGUGAACCUGCGGAAGGAUCAUUAACACGUAUCCAACGUUAAACAACCCUUGUGCAAUCCCUCUGUCCAUCGAUUGUAGCAGUGCAGAAGGAUCCACUGAGUAAGGAUAACGCCUCACGGUUGCCAGAGGUCGAUCACCGGCCGGCAGACAUGUCACAGGGCUAUAUGCCCCCUCAUUCACACCUUGCCCUAUCUGGCCCCACGGAAACGUUGGGGCACAAACCGAACAACUGUUAACAAUGGAUAUCUUGGUUCUC